UGCACUCUUAUACCAGCCGAUGGUGAAAAACCCGCUUUUUUAAUUCCACAAUCUAAAGGAUUUAAAAUUUUAUGUUAUUCUUAUUUUCAGAAAAGACUACGGGACAUUUUAGAAAAGUGUGGUUUAAAUUCUUCCAAAUUUUCCUCUCAUUCUUUUCGGAGAGGAGGGGCUACAUGGGCUUUUCACAGUAAAGUUCCUUCCGAGUUGAUACAAUUUCACGGGGAUUGGCGUAGUGAUGCAUAUAAAGUUUAUUUAGAAUUUGAUUUACAUGACAAAUUGUCUAUUUCACGAGCUAUGGCUGAUGAGAUUCUGAAUUAAUAUUGUUUGUUUAUCUUAUCUUAUUUUAUUUUUUUGUAGACAUUGUGUCAAAAAAUAAGGUUUUGUUGCUGUCAGAUUCUACUUGUAAAUAUGUAAAUAACAUUAACUGGCUGGAAUGCAAUGCUAUAUCUGGUGCUAAUAUAUACACUCUUCAUCAAUUUGUAAAAGACAACAAAUCACUUUUAAGAAAAUACACACAUUUGUUAUUGCAUGUAGGCACAAAUGAUGUUGGGAAUGGUUUAUCCAGUAAAUUGAUUAUUCAAUAUUAUAAUAAUUUAAUUGAUUUUAUUUGCAAUGUUUUUCCUUCUUUAAAGAUAAUAGUUUCAGCAAUUUUGCCAAGACCUAUAGAUUUUGAUGACACAAAACAAACUGUAAUAGAAUGUAAUAAAGCUUUGGCUAAGCUUACUUUAAAGAGAAAUAUUUUAUUUGUCAAAACUUAUAAGCAAUUUGUUCAGCAACCAGGAUCUAUUUAUAAAAGUAAAUGUUUUUGUAAAGAUAGAUUACACUUAAGUUAUUUUGGUGUUUCAGUUUUAAGAAACUUUUUUAUAGGUGUAGUUAAUCAUUUGUAAUUAUACAAUGUUGUAUUUAAAUGUUUUUUUUUUUUCAAGAUACUUUGUGGUUUUUAAUUUUAUUUUUCAGAAGAUGAUGGUCAAGAAAGCUGGGCUAGACCAUUACUUCUACAUCUGGUUUACCUGUGAACCUAUAUUAGUUUGCAGGAUUCCAGAAGUAACUGUUGUUGUAUGUAUUAUCAGAUAAUGCAGAUUGAUGAAUUUGAUGUCUGUUUGGGAAGUGACUGGUGCAUUUAUAUAUUUUGGAAAUUAAUAUUUAUCAAGAAUAUGGACUUUAAAUGAGAAAUUUAUUUAUGACAUAUGUAUGAUUGUAAAUUGUUAUUUAUGCCAAAAUAUGAUUAUCAUUACUUA